rnacentral:lncRNA from 1 species
UAUGACUGUAUAAAUAACAGAAUCUACUCAGAACAGUUUAAGGAAUUUCUUGGGACCUACAAUAAACUUAGAGAAACCUGCUUUUUGGACUGUGUUAAAGACUUCACAACAAAAGUAAAGCCUGAAGAGACCACCUGUUCAGACCAUUGCUUACAGAAAUACAAAAAUUAUUUUUAAAUGACACAAAGAAUAUCCAAGAGAUUUCAGGAAUAUCAUAUUCAACAGAACGAAGCCCUGGUAGCCAAAGCAAAACUACUUGGCCAAUC